UGCCAGUAGUCAUAUGCUUGUCUUAAAGAUUAAGCCAUGCAUGUCUCAGUGCAAGCUAAAUUAAAGUGAAACCGCGGAAGGCUCAUUAUAUCAGCUAUGGUUCCUUAGAUGGUACCAAAGUAUACUUGGAUAACUGUGGCAAUUCCAGAGCUAAUACAUGCAAAUAGAGUCCCUGCCUCCCAAGGCAGGGAUGCUUUUAUUAGAUCAAAACCAACCGGCCUUCGGGCUAGUUGCUCUUGGUGACUCUGACUAACUUUGGGCUGAUCGCACGGUCACGUACCGGCGACGCAUCUUUCAAAUGUCUGCCUUAUCAACUAUCGAUGGUAGGCUCUACGCCUACCAUGGUUGUAACGGGUGACGGGGAAUCAGGGUUCGAUUCCGGAGAGGGAGCCUGAGAGACAGCUACCACAUCCAAGGAAGGCAGCAGGCGCGCAAAUUACCCACUCCCGGCACGGGGAGGUAGUGACGAUAAAUAACGAUGCAGAACUCUUUCCGAGGCUCUGCAAUCGGAAUGAGCACACUCUAAAUCAUUUAACGAGUAUCCAUCGGAGGGCAAGCCUGGUGCCAGCAGCUGCGGUAAUUCCAGCUCCGAUAGCGUAUAUUAAAGUUGUUGCGGUUAAAAAGCUCGUAGUUGGAUCUGUGUUUCACUCUGUCGGUUCGUUGCCCGUCAACGUUUAACUGGCAUGCAAGUGGAACGUCCUGCCGGUUGGCAACGCGCGUCCGCAAGGGCGUGCGUGCGCCAGUUGGAUCCUGUCUAGGUCCUCUUCACCGAGAGUCGAGGCAGGCCGGCACGUUUACUUUGAACAAAUUUGAGUGCUUAAAGCAGGCUGUUACGCCUGAAAACUGGUUGCAUGGAAUAAUGGAAUAGGACCUCGGUUCUACUUUGUUGGUUUUCGGAGCCCGAGGUAAUGAUUAAUAGGGACAGGCGGGGGCAUUAGUAUUGCGACGUUAGAGGUGAAAUUCUAAGAUCGUCGCAGGACUAACCUAAGCGAAAGCAUUUGCCAAGGAUGCUUCCUUUAAUCAAGAACGAAAGUUAGAUGAUCGAAGGCGAUCAGAUACCGCCCUAGUUCUAACCAUAAACGAUGCCAGCCAGCAAUCCGUCGCUGUUCCUCCGAUGACUCGACGGGCAGCUUCCGGGAAACUUAAGCUUUUAGGUUCCGGGGGAAGUAUGGUUGCAAAGCUGAAACUUAAAGGAAUUGACGGAAGGGCACCACCAGGAGUGGAGCCUGCGGCUUAAUUCGACUCAACACGGG
rnacentral:rRNA from 1 species